AACAGAUACCCAGGUAGUCCACGCCGUAAACGGUGGGCACUAGGUGUGGGCGACAUUCCACGUCGUCCGUGCCGCAGCUAACGCAUUAAGUGCCCCGCCUGGGGAGUACGGCCGCAAGGCUAAAACUCAAAGGAAUUGACGGGGGGCCCGCACAAGCGGCGGAGCAUGUGGCUUAAUUCGACGCAACGCGAAGAACCUUACCAAGGCUUGACAUACACCGGAAACGUCCAGAGAUGGGCGCCCCCUUGUGGUCGGUGUACAGAUGGUGCAUGGCUGUCGUCAGCUCGUGUCGUGAGAUGUUGGGUUAAGUCCCGCAACGAGCGCAACCCUUGUCCCGUGUUGCCAGCAGGCCCUUGUGGUGCUGGGGACUCACGGGAGACCGCCGGGGUCAACGUCGGAGGAAGGUGGGGACGACGUCAAGUCAUCAUGCCCCUUAUGUCUUGGGCUGCACACGUGCUACAAUGGCCGGUACAAUGAGCUGCGAUACCGCGAGGUGGAGCGAAUCUCAAAAAGCCGGUCUCAGUUCGGAUUGGGGU
rnacentral:rRNA from 1 species